AACAUGCAAGGUUAAUGAAUCAAUUAGAUGUGUGAAAGGGGAAGUCCUUUUUGAACUCAACCAUUUGAGGCAUAUUUUGAUAUCUGACUUGCUGCU